GUUAUCACGUACUGUACUGUCUUUGACGUUAUGGCUAUGUAUGACAUCAUGUAAUGUGAUACCGAAUUUUCCCACAAGGCAGCAGGGUGAUAGUAUAAAUACCAACGUCACCCCUUCAUGAAAUCCUCUUCCGCGCUUAACUCAACAGUGUAUGGUGUACAGUUCAUACUGUGCGGGCUACAAAAUGGUAACUAUUACAUUUGUAUUUGCUUUAGAAGAUAAUGUAACGUUAAAAGAACUGGACUCUUAUGCGACCUACUCAAAAUGUGUAUUUUAUGUGUCUUACGUAGCUAUUUGGCUUUUUGUAUUGCAUGGUGGUGUAUUUUCAUGUGUGUCCUUGAACCAGUAACGUUUUCAGUGCGUUGCGGUUUCAAACUUCCAUUCACCGCCAGCUCUGCUAAUAUUAAUGUAAAAAUACUUUCGUUGAACAGAGUUCCGUUGAGUAAUUAUUUUCAUUUACAUCCGGUAUGUACUUCUCGCCGCGAAUGUCGCUUGUAAAUUCAUUUAGAAUAUUUUUUUUUUUGGGGGGGGGGGGUGCAUACCGGCCGUAACGGAGGUAAAUGAAGCUAGUUGCUCAACGCAACUGCAUAUUUGAUCUACGAACAUAUUUUGACAUUAUUUUGUUGCAACAAUAUAAUACUUCAACAAUAGAGGGACACAGCGCGUAAAUAACAGUUUAUUUGGAAUUUCCUGGACAUUGGAGGUCGAACACACUGGUUCCGUUUGGCCUGAACCGCCACGUGCUAAUUGUUAGCACCAGAUCAAAUAUACUCACGAGACUGAAGUUACACAUUUUUGGAUUCAUUAGACAUUUACAUAGCCAGUGUUAAUUCGAACACGUCUGUCUUUUAAUUUAUGACGAAAUUCAUGUUAGGGACUUUUGAUGAAACGCCGACUUUACUGACCAGACAUGGUUUUGCGCUUCUAACUGUUCACUCCACUUAACUUUGCCAGGUAUCUUAUCAUACUCUUCUAACCUUUCAGAUUAUGACGUACAACCUAACGUUACUUGAUCCUGAUGAAUGACUCAGCGAAAAUGGUUUACGAUCAGGUAUGGCACGCAUUCCCAUCAAACAUGGAUUUUUUAUAUCAAGCCCACAUUCGUUUGAAUAAGAGUUGCUGGUGUGCAAGUGAUUCUUGUCAAGUCGGCUAUGAGAAUUGGCUUCAUGUUUAGCUACCUAGUUAUGUCUGGUAGUUUUCUGGUAGAAUUUCACCCAUGUCUGAUAUGAUGAGAAACAUGUUGGUAGGGACAUCUGAAAUAAAUGAAGAAACGCCAACUUUACUGACCAGACAUGGAUUUGCACUUCUAACUGUUCAUUUCACUUAAACUGUUGCCCAUUAUUUUAUCAUGCUCUUCUAACCUUUCAGAUUAUGAGGAUCAAUCUGCUCGAUCCUGGAUGACUAUGGUGUACGAUCAGGUUAAAACCACCUUUAAGCUGACCUUGUUAAGGAAACCAGGACAUCCAGGAGCGUGGUUGUGCCUCAAGUUGUCGGAUGGUUGGAACCUCUAGUCGGACUCAUCAAUACAGUUGCCUGUAAGUUGUUUACUGCAGCUGGAACACUUGACCAUUGCCGAUACAAUGAUGACAGCAUAGUUCAGCAGAUUAACCAUGAAGAACACUCAGCAUUGUCUUUCGCUCCUAUCUGAUGUAUCGGCUAUUACACGGAAAUAUAAAUUCAACAUGUAACAAUUUCAAUGGUUUUGCUGAGUUCAUAUUUCAAGUCAACUGAAAUAAACCCAUUAUGCCCAAAUCUAUGGAUUUCACAUGGCUGGGCAGUGGUGCCAGGCCCAACCAGAAUGAGCCCCCCCAGGGCUUUAAUUGAUAGAAAUCCCCCAGUUUAAUCAGCUGUCUGGGUGGUGUGUCUCAAAAUUCACAAUUUUUACCUGGCAACAGCUCUUGUGGGCGGUCCUAUAGUCAGCAUACCAAUGGUACUCAUUGGAUGUCUGGCUUUGUGGAAACUGCACAGAUUAGUUUCCUGUUAUUGUCCCCAGCACAAUGUGUAUAAUGGUCAUGCUGUUUAUUGAUAUGCCACCUGUAAAGUGGCUGGAGUAUCUUGGCAAAGAAAACUCUCACUAACAGGGAUGGAAAUGCAUUGUGCACAUUUUCAGUAGCAUUUUGUGUGCAUGGGAAAGUUCAGCUCAUGGGACCAACAGUUUACAUGUUGCAUUUAUAUUUUUGUUCAGUGUAUAUAUGGGACUUUGACGAUGGCUUCCCUCUGUUCUUCUUGACACCAUUUUUAUCUUUCAGACAUGGAAAAUUGGCUGAUCUUGCUGUUUUAGAGUUACAUCGCAAAAUGAGCCACAGGCCAAGGUAAGCGCUUGGGCUACAUUGACUUUACAGUUCAGCAGCCUGUGAUGAAAAGAUUCUGCCAUAUGAGUACACUGAUUAUACUCCUACCGUUCCAUUUACUUCUGAGGCUAAAGUGAAGCGCAUCGACUCAUCAGUUCAUGCUAUGUGCUGCACUAACUUUUUCCUUUCCACUAGGUUCCUGGAGGCUGUCAGACCAGUUGCGUUUGUAAUGUCCUUGGCGCCUCAAUAUAAACUGCGCAGGUAUGUUUCAUGUAUACAGAAGUGGCUUGUUUAAGUCUGUCACUGCCAUUGUUUCAGUGACCUGGUCCAUGUUUUUAUAUGUGGGGGUGAGCAAAUGAUGAUUCAGUUCUUGAACUCUCUCCCUGAGAUCUUGAUGACUACAAGAAUACUGAUCUUGCCCCAUUGACAUCCUAAUGGUUGACUGUAACUUCAUUUGGUUAACUUGUCUUCCUCUUCCCACAGGGUUUGGUCAUGAAGGUGCAAGGACAAUUACCACUGACCUGCAAUGUUCACUAUUUUAUUGUGCUGUCAAAAUAUACAUACUUAAACUGUAAAUGUAGUGUUAACUAUAGAUUGGUCAAUAAAGUAUACUCUAAGCAUUGGUUUCACUUGCUGUUGUCCAUAACAAUAAUGUCGUGUGUAUGUUAAUUUUGAACAGCCACGUGGUGGUUGACGGACAGGUGGGCAAUUUAAAUGUGCAGAGACGAUGGUGAGGCCAUUGUCCUGGCACUCAUCUGCAGCCAUAGCCUCGUUUCAGCAAUGCACAGUCUCAAGGAUCUACACAUAUUUCCCAUAAAUUGACGUUCCAUGGCCUGCAUACUCACCAGACAUGUUACUCCACGUGGGGUAUGUGUUACCUUUUGAAUAGUGAUACAGAACCACAUUGUACUGUGAUACUCAACCCCCAGUCUUUCCCGGGAGUUUUGUCGGUCUUGGGUUACGUGGGUAAUUGUUCUUGGUUUUUGUUCGGGAGUGUACCUUGUAACAGGAACGUUGUUCUACAACUUCAUAACGGCAUUGGCAAGUAUAGUUAUAAAAGCAUGCUUUAACUUGGUGCUGUUUAGACCCUGAUUUUCAUAGUCUCCGAGAUGGCUAGUGUGAGGAUUCUGUGUUAUGCACUAUAGCCCGUUACUAUGUGAUUGCAUGUUCUCGGCUGUUGGCUUGUGGCUGUGUGUUAUGCAACACAGCUGACUUGAGACAUUGUCAACAGUUUCAGGGCCAUGGGCCUUUCUCAUGAUGGAAAAAUAACAUGAACUGCAGUGAGUUGUGGGGGCACAUUCAGAACGUAGUGUUGCGAGAAACGGUCUCCUGUUAGAUAACAGGAGCCAGGUGUGUGAUAACUGUAUUGAGCAUGGGCGCAUAGAUAUUCUACUACUGACGGCUGAAGCGCCUAGGGGGCUGGGAUCAGCUCGGGCGCCAACGAUCAACGAUAGGUUGAGUGAGUUUAAACCACGCCCAGUCUCUGUCAGGAACAAGUCAGUUCUAUUUGCCCUGCGAGGUGUGACAGCGAGCCUGUAUAUACGAAAAUUGCAUUUACCACUUAUUGCUUAGCUAAUAAAAAGUAC
ensembl:lncRNA